GGGGGUGAGGAUAGAGUUUGUGCUGCCCCCCCCCCCCCCCCCCUCACAUUGCUGCCCCGCUCCCACCCACGGGCGUAGGGACACAGUGUGGGUCUUAAGGGACAGACGGACGGACGGACGGACGCGUGGAUGAAUGGACAGUUGGAAGGGUGUGGGACGGACAGACGGAUGAAUGGGCACCUGGAAGGGGGACGGACGGACAAACAGACAGAUGGAGUCCCCCAUGGGUGGAUGGACAGCUGGACAGACAGAUGGCCGGACAGACAGCCGGACAACAAUUGGAUGGAUGGAGAGACGGACACGCGCGCGGACACCCAGACAGACGGACAGCCGGGAGGAUGGACGCCCGGACAGAAAGGUGGACAACGGGGACAGCCAGAUGGAUGCUAAAGUGGACAGACAGACAGCCGGACAGACAGAUAGACGGGCAAGUGGGUGGACAGGUGGAUGGACACCUGGAUGGAAGGAUGGCAGGACAGACGGACACCUGGAUGGACAGAUGGCCAAGGCGGCGCCCGGACAGGCGGACAGCUGGGCAAAGGGACAACCAGACAGACAGACAGACAGAUGGACAUCCAGGGGAGCAGACAGCUGGACAGGGGGACAACUGGAUGGACAGAGGGAGGGAUAGCCGGACAGACAGACGGACAGACAGGGGAACACUCAGAUGGACGGAGCGGUUGGAGGAUGGAGGGACAGACGGACGGACAGACGGACGGACGGAGGGACAUCCAAAUGGAGGGACAGCGGGACAAAGGGACAACCGGACAGACAGACAAAGGAACAGCCGGGCAGACGGGUGGGGAUAAGCAGAAAGACGGACAGAUGGACAACCGGGUGGACAGACGGACUGACAGCCUGGCAGAGGGACGGCUGGGCAGGCGGACGGACGGACAGAUAGAAAGGACAGAGAGACAACCAGGCAGACAGAGGGACAGCUGGAGGGACAAGCAGACAGACAGACAUAGGGACAAGCAGACAGACAGGCAGACAGGCACCUGGACGGACAGACGGACGGACAGACGGGUGGACAUCUGGGUAGACAGACGGAUGGGCAGGAGGACACGUGGACAGAUGGGCGGACAGCGGGCGGAUGGGCAGACAGACAUCCGGACGGACAGAAGGACGGAUGGACAGACAGACGGGUGAACGGACGGACGGACGGACAGGUGGGCACCCGGAUGGGCAGACAUGGAUGGACGGAGGGACGGACAGACAGACACCCAGAAGGGCAGAAGGACGGACAGACAGACGCCUGGACGGGCAGACAGACAGACACCUGGAUGGGCAGAAGGAUGGACAGACAGAUGCCUGGACGGGCAGAAGGACGGACGGGCAGACACCUGGACGGACAGACAGACAGAUGCCUGGAUGGACAGACGGACGGAAAGACAGACGCCUGGACGGACGGACGGACAGACUCCUGGAUGGGCAGAAGGAUGGACGGACAGACGGGCACCUGGAUGGGCAGACAGACAGAUACCUGCACGGACAGACGGACGGACGGACAGACAGGCACCUGGACGGGCAGAAGGAUGGGUGGACGGACAGACAGACGCCUGGAUGGGCAGAAGGACGGAUGGACGGACGCCUGGAUGGGCAGAGGGACGAACCGACAGACGCCUGGAUGGGCAGAGGGAUGGACAGAUGCCUGGACGGACAGACAGACAGUCAGACAGACUCCUGGACAGACAGACGGAUGGAAAGACAGACGCCUGGACGGACAGACAGACGCCUGGAUGGGCAGAAGGACGGACAGACAGACGCCUGGAUGGGCAGAGGAUGGACAGACAGACGCCUGGAUGGGCAGAGGAUGGACAGACAGACGCCUGGACAGACAGAUGGACGGACGGACGGACAGACGGACACCUGGAUGGGCAGAAGGACGGACAGACAGACGCCUGGACGGACGGACAGACGGACGGACGCCCCCCCCACCUGCGCACGGUUCCCCCCUCUGAGCACGCAGAGCGC
ensembl:lncRNA